AGUGAACGCUGGCGGUAGGCCUAACACAUGCAAGUCGAACGGCAGCACAGUAAGAGCUUGCUCUUACGGGUGGCGAGUGGCGGACGGGUGAGGAAUACAUCGGAAUCUACUUUUUCGUGGGGGAUAACGUAGGGAAACUUACGCUAAUACCGCAUACGACCUACGGGUGAAAGCAGGGGAUCUUCGGACCUUGCGCGAUUGAAUGAGCCGAUGUCGGAUUAGCUAGUUGGCGGGGUAAAGGCCCACCAAGGCGACGAUCCGUAGCUGGUCUGAGAGGAUGAUCAGCCACACUGGAACUGAGACACGGGCCAGACUCCUACGGGAGGCAGCAGUGGGGAAUAUUGGUCAAUGGGCGCAAGCCUGAUCCAGCCAUACCGCGUGGGUGAAGAAGGCCUUCGGGUUGUAAAGCCCUUUUGUUGGGAAAGAAAAGCAGCAGGUUAAUACCCCGCUGUUCUGACGGUACCCAAAGAAUAAGCACCGGCUAACUUCGUG
rnacentral:rRNA from 1 species